rnacentral:rRNA from 1 species
UACGUAGGGUGCGAGCGUUGUCCGGAAUUAUUGGGCGUAAAGAGCUCGUAGGCGGUGUGUCACGUCGGCCGUGAAAACUUGCAGCUUAACUGUGGGCGUGCGGUCGAUACGGGCAUCACUGGAGUUCGGCAGGGGAGACUGGAAUUCCUGGUGUAGCGGUGAAAUGCGCAGAUAUCAGGAGGAACACCGGUGGCGAAGGCGGGUCUCUGGGCAGUAACUGACGCUGAGGAGCGAAAGCGUGGGGAGCGAACAGG